CGCGUAGGCGGGAUUUUAAGUCAGGUGUGAAAACUCUGGGCUCAACUUAGAGAUUGCACUUGAAACUAGAAUUCUUGAGGACAGGAGAGGAAAGUGGAAUUCCUAGUGUAGCGGUGAAAUGCGUAGAUAUUAGGAGGAACACCAGUGGCGAAGGCGACUUUCUGGACUGUAACUGACGCUGAGGCGCGAAAGCGUGGGGAGUGAACGG
rnacentral:rRNA from 1 species